AUUGAACGCUGGCGGCAGGCUUAACACAUGCAAGUCGAGCGGAGAUGAGGUGCUUGCACCUUAUCUUAGCGGCGGACGGGUGAGUAAUGCUUAGGAAUCUGCCUAUUAGUGGGGGACAACAUUCCGAAAGGAAUGCUAAUACCGCAUAUGCCCUACGGGGGAAAGCAGGGGAUCUUCGGACCUUGCGCUAAUAGAUGAGCCUAAGUCGGAUUAGCUAGUUGGUGGGGUAAAGGCCUACCAAGGCGACGAUCUGUAGCGGGUCUAAGAGGAUGAACCGCCACACUGGGACUGAGACAUGGCCCAGACUCCUACGGGAGGCAGCAGUGGGGAAUAUUGGACAAUGGGCGGAAGCCUGAUCCAGCCAUGCCGCGUGUGUGAAGAAGGCCUUUUGGUUGUAAAGCACUUUAAGCGAGGAGGAGGCUACCUGGAUUAAUACUCUAGGAUAGUGGACGUUACUCGCAGAAUAAGCACCGGCUAACUCUGUGCCAGCCGCCGCAGUAAUAC
rnacentral:rRNA from 1 species